CUACGGGUUGCUCCAGUGGGGAAUAUUGCACAAUGGAGGAAACUCUGAUGCAGCAACGCCGCGUGGAGGAUGACACUUUUCGGAGCGUAAACUCCUUUUAUAUAGGAAGAAGAUGACGGUACUAUAUGAAUAAGCGCCGGCUAACUCCGCGCCAGCAGCCGCGGUAAUACGGAGGGCGCAAGCGUUACUCGGAAUCACUGGGCGUAAAGAGCGUGUAGGCGGAUUAAAAAGUCAGAAGUGAAAUCCUAUAGCUUAACUAUAGAACUGCUUCUGAAACUCUUAAUCUAGAAUAUGGGAGAGGUAGAUGGAAGUUCUGGUGUAGGGGUAAAAUCCGUAGAGAUCAGAAGGAAUACCGAUUGCGAAGGCGAUCUACUAGAACAUUAUUGACGCUGAGACGCGAAAGCGUGGGGAGCAAACAGGAUUAGAUACCCUCGUAGUC
rnacentral:rRNA from 1 species